CUCAGGGCGAACGCUGGCGGCGUGCUUAACACAUGCAAGUCGAACGGAAAGGCCCUGCUUUUGUGGGGUGCUCGAGUGGCGAACGGGUGAGUAACACGUGAGUAACCUGCCCUUGACUUUGGGAUAACUUCAGGAAACUGGGGCUAAUACCGGAUAGGAGCUCCUGCUGCAUGGUGGGGGUUGGAAAGUUUCGGCGGUUGGGGAUGGACUCGCGGCUUAUCAGCUUGUUGGUGGGGUAGUGGCUUACCAAGGCUUUGACGGGUAGCCGGCCUGAGAGGGUGACCGGCCACAUUGGGACUGAGAUACGGCCCAGACUCCUACGGGAGGCAGCAGUGGGGAAUAUUGCACAAUGGGCGGAAGCCUGAUGCAGCAACGCCGCGUGCGGGAUGACGGCCUUCGGGUUGUAAACCGCUUUCGCCUGUGACGAAGCGUGAGUGACGGUAAUGGGUAAAGAAGCACCGGCUAACUACGUGCCAGCAGCCGCGGUGAUACGUAGGGUGCGAGCGUUGUCCGGAUUUAUUGGGCGUAAAGGGCUCGUAGGUGGUUGAUCGCGUCGGAAGUGUAAUCUUGGGGCUUAACCCUGAGCGUGCUUUCGAUACGGGUUGACUUGAGGAAGGUAGGGGAGGAUGGAAUUCCUGGUGGAGCGGUGGAAUGCGCAGAUAUCAGGAGGAACACCAGUGGCGAAGGCGGUUCUCUGGGCCUUUCCUGACGCUGAGGAGCGAAAGCGUGGGGAGCGAACAGGCUUAGAUACCCUGGUAGUCCACGCUGUAAACGGUGGGUACUAGGUGUGGGGUCCAUUCCACGGGUUCCGUGCCGUAGCUAACGCUUUAAGUACCCCGCCUGGGGAGUACGGCCGCAAGGCUAAAACUCAAAGGAAUUGACGGGGCCCCGCACAAGCGGCGGAGCAUGCGGAUUAAUUCGAUGCAACGCGUAGAACCUUACCUGGGUUUGACAUGGAUCGGGAGUGCUCAGAGAUGGGUGUGCCUCUUUUGGGGUCGGUUCACAGGUGGUGCAUGGCUGUCGUCAGCUCGUGUCGUGAGAUGUUGGGUUAAGUCCCGCAACGAGCGCAACCCUUGUUCACUGUUGCCAGCACGUUAUGGUGGGGACUCAGUGGAGACCGCCGGGGUCAACUCGGAGGAAGGUGGGGAUGACGUCAAGUCAUCAUGCCCCUUAUGUCCAGGGCUUCACGCAUGCUACAAUGGCUGGUACAGAGAGUGGCGAGCCUGUGAGGGUGAGCGAAUCUCGGAAAGCCGGUCUCAGUUCGGAUUGGGGUCUGCAACUCGACCUCAUGAAGUCGGAGUCGCUAGUAAUCGCAGAUCAGCAACGCUGCGGUGAAUACGUUCCCGGGGCUUGUACACACCGCCCGUCAAGUCAUGAAAGUUGGUAACACCCGAAGCCGAAGGCCUAACCGUUGUGGGGGAGCCGUCGAA
rnacentral:rRNA from 1 species